AAAGUCGUAACAAGGUUUCCGUAGGUGAACCUGCGGAAGGAUCAUUGAAAGUAGAAAUUACCGGGGGGGGUGUAAUGUGUUAACCCCGGAAAAUAGGUGAAACGGUAACUAACGUUUAUUGUCUUUCCUUGAACUGGGAAAUUAAAGCCACUGGUGACUAUUUUGUUGCUGCCGUGCCGGAUGCUGGUGGUAAAACCCAGCUUCUGGUGCUUCUCUUUUUCCUUUUUCUUGAUUUCCACUUUUGAUUUCUGCCUGAUGAACUGAGGGUGUGCCUUGUGCUCCCGAUAAAAACCUGUAAAUAACUUUUAACAAUGGAUCUCUUGGCUCUC
rnacentral:misc_RNA from 1 species